rnacentral:tRNA from 1 species
GUCCCUAGUGGUCUAACGGUUAUGGCACCUGAUGUAUACACACUGCGUGAUUGUAUGUCAGGAGAUUCUGGGUUCAAAUCCCAGCUGGGACG